rnacentral:rRNA from 1 species
AACGUAGGAGGCGAGCGUUAUCCGGAUUUACUGGGUGUAAAGCGCGUGCAGGCGGUUCUGCAAGUGGGACGUGAAAGCGCCCGGCUCAACCGGGCGAGGCCGUUCCGAACUGCGGGACUGGAGGCAGGUAGAGGCGUGUGGAAUUCCGGGUGUAGUGGUGAAAUGCGUAGAGAUCCGGAGGAACACCAGUGGCGAAGGCGACACGCUGGGCCUGGCCUGACGCUCAGACGCGAAAGCAUGGGGAGCGAAC